AUCAUGUCUCAGGUCAUGAUUUCAUCACUUCAAAACAAUGAGGAAAUAAUAUGUUUUUAUGAGAUGUAGUGGAGUAACUUGUCAAAUAUUAUGCUUUGGAAUGUAGUUAAAAGUUUUCCAAACUGCUCUGAUAGAGUGCAGAUACUUUCACCAUUGCUAUCUGUCUGUCUAAUAUGUAAUCUCCCAAUAGUGCACUCGCUGACAUGCUACACCUGUGUGGAUGGGGACUGCAAGACCCCAACCGAAUGUCCAGCCUCAAGCAAUUUCUGCAAAACAGUUUCAACAGCCACUGUGUUCAGCCGGACAUGUGAGGAGUUCUGUGUUCCGGGAGUGAACAUCCACUGCUGCACUUCUGAUCUGUGUGACUAAUCUCUCAACAUCACCAGUCCUGCUGAUCGACUGUCCUUGAGUCAGGCACUCAUGUUCAUUGUAAUAGCGUAGCAGGAAAAAUAUCAUUGGGUUACUCUAGGUGUAUAAUUUUUCUAAUGACUUUUUUCCAUCUGACUCAACAUGGUUUGCUUUACAUAACAUUACUUAAUAAAGGAAUGUCUAAUACGUGUGGUUUCUGUCCCAGAUCGGCA
rnacentral:lncRNA from 1 species